rnacentral:rRNA from 1 species
UACGUAGGGUGCAAGCGUUAUCCGGAAUUAUUGGCGUAAGAGCUCGUAGGCGGUUUGUCGCGUCUGCUGUGAAAACUGGAGGCUCAACCUCCAGCCUGCAGUGGGUACGGGCAGACUAGAGUGCGGUAGGGGAGAUUGGAACUCCUGGUGUAGCGGUGGAAUGCGCAGAUAUCAGGAAGAACACCGAUGGCGAAGGCAGAUCUCUGGGCCGUAACUGAC